rnacentral:rRNA from 1 species
UACGUAGGGGGCAAGCGUUGUCCGGAUUUAUUGGGCGUAAAGAGCGUGUAGGCGGCCAGGUAGGUCAGCUGUGAAAACUCGAGGCUCAACCUCGAGACGUCGGUUGAAACCACCUGGCUAGAGUCCGGAAGAGGAGAGUGGAAUUCCUGGUGUAGCGGUGAAAUGCGCAGAUAUCAGGAAGAACACCCGUGGCGAAGGCGGCUCUCUGGGACGGUACUGACGCUGAGGCGCGAAAGCUAGGGGAGCAAACGGG